rnacentral:siRNA from 1 species
AAAAAGAAUAGAGCUAAAUGGAUG